AGGCGAGAGGGAGACAGCAGGUUAGUCAGCAGCCAGGCAGGCUCAGGGCGGCCACGUGCUCAGGCCAGGCCAGUGUCGGGGGAGAAAAGGGCCAUGCGGACCUGCAAGGGGACCCUGCCACCCAUCGGGAGGAGGUGGGCUUGCAUGGGGUGGGGGAACCAGCUUGCUCUUGAGGGGCUUCCACUAUCUUUGGGGAGACAGAGCUGUAAGAAGACAAAAGAAGCACCCUGCCAAGGGAGUGAACAGAGAGCUCUGGAAAGACCGAGGAGGCAGCGAUGAAUUCUCUUUGGGGAAGGGAAUCGGGAAGGUUUCAGAGGUGAUUGUGAAUGGGUUUUGAAGGAUGACUAGAAGUCUGUCAGGACCGAGAGAGCACUGCAAGGAGGCUGGGAAGGCAGGCUGGGGGGCCCUGCAGUCUGUGCCAAAGACCACCUGAGCUCACUGUCCUCACUUGGCCUGCUCACGCACAGGGGGUUUCUAGGUGCGUUUUAGUCUUUUUCUUUUUUUCUGUUUUGAAAGUAACAGGAAAGGCAAAUCUAUGCUUCCAACAUAUCACAUCUUGGGAGGGAGGAAUGCUCUCUCGAUAAGAGUUCUACUGAGCAGGGCACCGUCAAUCCCCAUGGUCUGUGGCAGGUUUGAACAGAACGCCCGGGGAAGUCACUGCCCCAGAGAGAUCCAGGUGACGGCCUCCAAGGAGUCAAGGCUGAGACCUGCUGCCCGAAGGUUCGGGAGGCCACGGAAGAGGAGAUGGAAUGCCACAGCCACAGACCCUCCGUGGGGCCACCUCACUCCUUGCUCCACGUGGACCGGAGCUCGUUCUGCCUGCACGACUCAGCCCUGCCCCCGCCAAGGGCUUGGCACUUCUAUGCAGGGGCUCCCCUACUCUCCUGCCUUGGAGACCCCCCCACCCCGAGGCCCUGUGCUCUGACGGCUCCCACCACGCGUGGGGCCCUAAAUAGGCCCAUCACCCUUCACUCCUGGGAACCUCAUCCCCUACACCCGCUGCUCCCCCAACGCUGCCAGUGGCCCCAUCUCGGGAAGUGGCAGAGGCCCCUGCCACGCCCCCCGUCUGUGCGUCUCCUUCGCCCUCAUCCCUGGUGCUUGCACAGGGCCUGGUGUCCAGCUGGAGGCCAGAGUCUCGAAUGCACCCCGUCCUGCCAGCAAUGGGCAGUUGGCCCAUCUACUCCCCAGGACAGGCUGGGGCGCCCGGACAGGCUGACUCCAGGGUUCUCUGCCCCCCCAGACCUGCGUUGCCGGCCCUAACCACCCACCUCUAACACCAGGGUGGGAAAAACGGCUCAGGCCCUGGCUGCUUGGGUUUGGCUAUUUGCUGCAUCCUGUGCACCCGCCUCCAGCCCGAGGCUUUUUCCAGCCUUUAACGGCGCCCCGCGAUUUGAGGGUGGGAAUCUUAUCAACGCUCAGCAGCAUGAACUGGGGAACAGCUGCCUCGUGAUUAGGUCCACCGGUCACUGUAUCUGUGUGAAAUCGUAUCCUGCUUUCAGACUCGUCCGAGAAAAGUCCGAAACAGCUCAUCAAAUGGCCUAGUUAAAUGAAGCUAUUUUUAGGACAACUUCAUGAAGCAGGUAGUGUCUCUAAGACAAACACCCAAACCGGGCCUCUGCAGGGAAAGGCUGGGUGGGUGCCAGGGGCGGCUUCGAUUACAAAACAUCUCACCAUCUCAGACAGAAACCUCCAAGAUCUCAGAAACCACCGCGCCACAGAAGAGAAGGGCCACUCAAAGUGGCAGGGUUUUCAAUGUGACAGGAAAGGGCACCCGACAGUCAGGACAGGAAGCUGUCUUGACAACCUGUUGGUGGAGCCCACACUUCACCGUGUACGAGAGGCAAUAACUUCUCUUAAGGCCGAUCGCAACCCUGAAACGCAGUUUUGAACUUUGAUCAAACAGUCAUUGACCACGUGUCCAGAGUCUGGACGUACACGGCCAACCCGCCGGCUGCCUGCCCUGUGCCCGCACUCACUCCCUGGACGCAUGAAGGAUUCCUGACCCCCGCAAGCUCCCUGGCCCUGCAGGGACCACAGGACCGACACGGGCAGAUAUGGCUCCCGGAAAGCCCACCAGUGCCACGUCGACAGAGUGGGGUCGGAAGUGCUUGGCUGCUGAGCACCGGAAACCAGCUGUCCAGGCGCCCGUCUCCCUCUCUCUGGGGCAGAUCCGGGAGCUGGUGGCCGCAGAACCUUGAAGGAGGACGGGCAUGGCUUGGGGCGGGGGGGCUUUCCCUAACCUCUCCUGCUGAGUUUUCGUCUUUAAGCCUCUCCCUCUGGCUGAUUUAUCCGCGUCAUUGGGAGUCUCCUGCUCGGUUUCGCUCUCCUAUGAUCUGGCUGUGGGCACAUCUACGUCCAUCCUCCACGUUGUCCGAACAUUCUCCACAUUUGCUGGUCUCGAUUCCUUCCUGCUGCCUUCCGAUGGUUCUUCAACUUGACCCACGGGUAGCUCUGUUCAUCCCGUCAUCCGUCUCUUGUCAUGCUGAUUUUGGGGGAGGCGGGGGCCAGUCACACACCCUGCUGGGUUUGGGGGUCUGUCUCCCAGAGCAGGGUGUUCUCUGGGGCCUCGCUGUUGUCCUGGGGGAGGGGGGUACCAGCUACUCUUCCUGCCAGGGUAUGUGGGGGGAGGACAGAGAGGCAGGCCCACUGCGACUGUCCUGAGAUAAACCGAAGAAAGUCGCAGGGCAGCAUUCAGUGCACUUGGUGGAAGGAAGAAAGGAAAGGGAGGAAGGCCCCCAGGCCCCCAGAGAAUCAUCGGGAACACCCCUCUACUGGGAAAAGCCGUCCCCUUUAAUUCUCAGCACAGGAGGAGGUGAUCCCCUGGCACAAGUCCCCAGCGCCUGGUCUAGAGAUGGGGGGUAGAGGUGCGGCUGCCCGGGGGCCCACCCUCACCUGUUUUUAUCCACUCCUCACUCCCUGCCUGGCCACUGCCAUUGGUCACGGGGCCAGGACAGGGUCAGACACAGGCCAGGGCUAGAAGAGAUGGCAUCCCAGGGGCCUGGCUUCCUCUAGAGGCUGGAUCAGCAAAGCUGGGAUCUGCAGGGCCUGGGAAGCGGCAUCCAGAUCUGGCCAGAUUGUGGGGGGCUGGAGCGCCCCCUUAGACAGUGAACGGUUUUGGAAGCUCAUGAGAAUGCCUAACACCCAGAAAACAGUGCAUCGUCUUCAAAAGAUUUCAAGUCACUUAUAAAAUAAUUUAGUCACAUUUAAACAGGAAGGUGUCCGUCCUCUUGGCAGUCUGACGAGCAACCUCUGGAAAUGAACUUCAAGUUUUUCCGUCUUCUGGUCCGUUUAACUUUGGUUACUAAGCGACCGCUAAACGGGACCAAAAUACUGAACUGUGAUAACAAGUGCGGCCCUUACCUUUCUUGACUGAGAGCAAUUCUCCUAUUUCCAGAGCUUUCAAAUGAUAAUGACAACCCUGGGCAUGGCUGUUAAAAAGAGUUGGGCUAUUCAACACCAGGUAGGCUGACGACAGCGGGGCCCAGAGGGGCUGCAGUUCCCAUUCGAGGAUCGACCAGGAGCCACCCGAGACAAUGCAAGGAACCAGGGACGCAGUGGGCGAGGAAAAGUCCAGAUGAUUAUUUUAAAAGUCUGUGGGCUUGUGACUCACUUUCCCAAGGGGCAUGCUUUUUAAAAGGGGAGAGAAAAAUACAGCUGGCUGCGUACUGAUACGUCAUCAGGGCUUCUGGAGACGCGAGCCGGCCCGGGGCACCGGGGGACCAGGACUGAGAUGGUGGCACCUCUGACCGUCGGUGGGCCCUCACCUCAGAACAGGGCUGCCACCGAGUCUGGACGACCCGCUCCUGCCAAACCGCUGCCCCCACCCCCAACCCCACGAAUGCCACCAGGCGAUCGCCCUCAGUAUGUAACCCGACAAUGCCCAGAGGUUAAUCCUGCAACUUCGACUGCUAUCUGAGAAGUACGGCGAUGAAUGCAAUCCAUGCGCUUUCCUGGCGGGACCGGACGCCAACACUAUUCCAGGGGUUCUUCCUCCUUUUCACUUCCAAGGCUCGACAACCACGUCAGGAUCUGGAGCCUGACCUUAGCCUAAAAUCACUCAUUUGCCCAAGUCUGUAAUAACUCCAUGCAUUGUUUGCUCAGCAAAACUAUUUAUCGUAAACAUUUUCCUUCUCUCACCUUUUUACGAGCUGACCAAACAGCUUUCAUUGAUCUAUGAACCUGCGCUGCAUUACGCUCUGCUCCGGCUUCAAACAGCGGAUCGUUUCAGCCUGGCCUAGAAAAUGCAGUUCAUUCCACCGGUUCCCUACAGAUCACGGCAGCGUAUGCUCUGCGCCGGCUCAACAGCUUUUAGGAGGAACCUAGAAGGACACGAUCAAAGCCGACGGCAGGGAAAUCCUACCCACCACGCAACCUCUGCGUUUACCUUUACGGCGCCCCCCGAGUGCCGAGCGGGGACACCAGGGCAAAGGUGGGGCGUGUUUCAAUGCCAACCAUACGACACCGGGAGCUGCUACAACAAAGUGUGUCUACAAGGCAGCUGACAAAGAGUCCAGGGCGACCUUCAAAGAUCCGUGUAUCUUCUUGGACCCGAGUCAAAAGCCAACAGUCUCAAUAAUAGACUGUAAAGUUCUUAGGCAUCCAAAGAAGAAGAAGGAAAAAAUCUAAAGAUGAAUUCCCCGUGCUUUAAAACAAACAAAAAGUUUCAGUGUGUUUGGUAAGGCGAACACACCCUCUCCACCGGAUGCUGCAUCUGACACUGGGCCAUCAGGAAGGCGGGUCACUUUCGUGAAACCUCCGUGCCAGGCAGGGCUCUUGGCACGAAGGGGCAGAGGAGCCCCGGACGUGGGCUCAGGAGAUCGGGUGCAGAAAGAAAGGCGGGAAAACGAGGCGGAGGAGGAGCCAGAGGGCCAGGGCCGCGCCCGUGGCACGUAGAGGUUUUCAGACGAGGGGUCAAUUCGGAGCUACAGCCGCCGGCCUACAUCACAGCCACACCAACGCAGGAUCCGAGCCAUGACUGCAACCUACACCACAGCUCACGGCAACGCCGAUCCUUAACCCACUGAGUGAGGCCCGGGCUCGAACCCACAUCCUCAUGGAUACUAGUUGGAUUUGCGAUGUGCCACGCCGGAUGGGGAAGUCAACGGCCCAGGUGCAGCCCCCUUACUGGGAGCACACGGGACCCACACUCACCUCCCGGGGCCUCACAGACAUGAGACCCGCGACCACCUGCUUGGGGGUGGGCGCAGAGAGGUGAAGAGACCCAGGGAAGUUGGGCACAGUGACAGCCCAGGAGGAGGGACAGCGGGCUUUGCAAACAGGAGGAGGAGAGCCUCUUGGGGUGUGUGUGUCGGGAGGAAGGCAAUGACAUCUGGUCUGUGUUCUGGAGGAUGAGGCCAGGUCUGCUGGGUGGGGGACAGGGGGCAGAGGGAGGGACGACCAGACAGAACUGAACCUCUGCGUGGGGGCGCUGCUCAGCCCCGUAACAGCGUCCCCCCCCCCACGUUUCCAGGGCAUCUCACUGCUCCGUGCCAUGUGACUGCCAGUCUCUUCCUGCUCCCUACGGCUUCCUAUCUCUUUCUCCUACGAUGGCAGUGACCAUCAGAGCCCUGUCACACAGCCAGGGUGACAGCGGGGGCCUGCCUGGUGUCUGAUGUCACGGCCAACAGUUCACCGUCACACGGGCUGCUCAUCUUGGACUUUGGGUCCAUACGUUUGUCUUUCGUCAGCGCAACAGCCAACUGUUCCUAUUUUAUUCAGGCUUUUUAAUAAAAGAUGAUUUCGUGAAGUACCAUUUAAGCGUUUAUGGAGCUAAUUAAAUGGUUUUUCUCCUUGACCCACGGAAAUGGUAACUACGCGGACAGCCACCAGCCUCUGUUUGGUUCUGGGUCUUAGGCUUUUACCACGCUCCUGGGUUCUAUUUGCUCAUGUUUUAUUUAGUAUUUUUAUCCACAAAUAUUCAUAAAUGAGACUGGCCUCUAGUUUCUUUUGCCUUUGUCAGGUUACGUUCUACAAACGACUGUGAAAGUGUUUCCUUCUCUCCGUAGACACAGGGCGGGAUCACAGAUGCGGUGGCACUGCUCUAGAAAAACCCGGGCCCACAUCCCACCUGUACAGGCUCACUGCGCUGCCUGGCAGGCGAGCCCCGCACUGUCUGUACCGGGCCUGGCUCCCCCCGGCCGCCUCCCACCACCUCCCUUCCCAGGUCUGCAGCCUCCCAGGCCGGGGGCAGGGUCAAGGCCAGUCCUGCCUCAGGUGGCAGGUGGUGGGUGGUGGUGGGUUCCGUGAGCUGCUUCUCGGCUCCCUCCCUCCUGGUUGAACUCAAAGCAUCUUUUGGGCCAGGAACCCUGCAGGGAGCAGAGGACUCUCUCCCAUAAACACCUCGGCUCCUUUCCCGGCUUGGAUUCUCUCGAUUUUCCAACCCGACAAAGAGGCCUAAGUGCAGAGCUGUCUCCCAGAGCUGGUGAGCUGGGGUCGAGCCCUGUCAGUCCACUAGUGACACGCAUUCUGGGCAGAUUUCCUUCUGGAGCUCAAUCGACACACACUCUUAUGGACUCUUUCGUCUUAGGCUGUUCCUUGAAACCACCGCACCUGUCCGCCUGGCUGUCCCCUCUACUGAGAUCCCCAUGGGGGCCACUGUCGCCAGCCAGGCCCCGGCUCUCUGAGAGUCCCGGGCCAGCCCUGCGCCCCGUCGUCCACUCAUUUAUUUUCACUGCCCCUUUUCUGCCUCCGAGUAUCUUGCUCGGAUGUUGAUCACUUGUGGGUUCACAGCCACGAUCGCGGAGAACCCGGCCUGCGCUCACUGAGUCCCGGCUGACCAGCCACACAGACCUGCGACGCCGCGCUCAGGUGCUGCGCGAGGCGGGCAGCGGCUCACUGGCUGGUAUUUUAAAGAGCGGAAAGUGCUGGACUGUUUGGCCAAAUUGUAAAUAUGACUUUGAAGGAAAAAGUUUGUAAGUUGUUUUGGCAGCAGGGAAAUAAUUCGCUUUUCUUACCCCUUUUCAUAGCCUUUGGACAGAAGGCAACAACCCCCCUGGAAGAAAAAGUAUGUGCCAACCACAAGCUCUUGGACUGCACGCCGCUCAGCCCGGAUCCCCGCUUCUCCCCCUGUGCCUGAUGCCUGUCAGGGACCCAACACCGAGGGCAGGAAGGGAGGGAAGGAGAAGGUGUCUUCUGCGGAAGGGUUUUCCUGACAAUCCCAGCCGCAGGGUCGGUCCCCUCACUGCCCACCCGGGUUAAGCCACCUCUGCUUUCGGGGGAGGCCGCCGGGCACCCUUCCAAGUCCCCGAUCGGAUGUGUCACCCCAGAGCAGCCCCACCCUGUCCAAUCAAAUCGAGAGACAGCUGCGGCGCUGGACUGCUACAUCGGCCCCCCUGGACAUAGUGGUUUUCACUCUUGUUGGAAAGGAAACUGUAUGGAGAGACAGUUAAGUGGCCAGAAGGUCACCUCUGCCUGCUCAGAAAUUAACCACAAUUUGUUCCCUUUUAUGACCACUAUGUUUAAAUUUAAAUGAUACAAGUAACCAUUAAAAUCAAUUUUAGUUAAGGCUCAUCAAUCCCAAAUGGGAAGAAAAUUUCCCGUCUUGCCUCACUAUUUAACUGACUUGUUUACAUGAAAUAAGUGAAAUAAAAUCCUCCUUUAGUUUAAUCUGCGUCUGGCUGACAGAUCAAGGGGCCCGCGACAGCCCACCCGGGGCAUGUCCCACCUGCGCCAAGCCAGUGGGGCAGCUCUGCCAGGUGGGUCACUCCCCAGAGGGCGACCCUCAGUGUGAUCAGAAACAGCCACCACCGUCACUCAGGCGUCAGUCCUCUCUGGGCAGGGACGCGGGACAGCUGUGGCUGGAGAAUUAAUUUACGAGGCAGCUGCUCCCGAGAUCACUGAAGCCUUUGGGAUCAAGGUCCUGAUUCAUCCGUGGAUGCUUCUCGCCAUUUCUCUAACGUUCUCCAGAACUGUUGCUUCUAAAGCAAUGGGGGGAGCAGGCUGGAUGUGAAAAUCCCUUUCCCUCCCGAAAUCAAGUGCCACGGGGUCAUAAGCAGGAUGCAGUGACGGGAGGUGAAACUAGGGGAACUGUAGGCUAGAGCCACCAGCGUAGGGCUGGCAGGGCAAAGGGGGCCCGAUUCUUCGCCUGCCUUCUGGUCCUUUGACCUUGGGCCGAGCGUGGCGCGUGACAGCCUCAAAGAAACUGCCACGAGGAUGACGUAACAAAACCGUAGACCACAACGACCGCACGCAUUUCGUUCUCACGGCUGUGAAUGGAAAGCAGGCUCUUUCCCUUCUGGGCAGAGUUAAUUUUCACCCCCGAGGCCCCUAGAAGGUCAUCACAACCACCGAUGGAGCGGGCGCGGCUCCAGAUCUCCGGGCAGAAUCGGAUCAAGCCUCUAGGUUCCGCUACGAACGGCCAGGAACGAGAGGACAGAGGAACAGGCCCAACUGCAUCUGGAGAGGGUGACGGCAAGAUCUAAAAGGGGGGGGAAACUCUUCAGGACAAAUGAGCUGCUUUCCUUCCAAACAGACUGAAGGGAAAGGAAAAAGAGACAGCGGGGGAUCUGCAGAGUGAAUGAGACUCAGAGGCAGGCCAACCAACCGCAAGGCGGGGGUCUUAUUUGGCCUGAUGCACCCCCAUUUUAAAACACCUCAUCUGGGAUGUUUAGGGGUAAAUCAACAUUUAAGUAUUGAUUUUUUGAUGUGAUAAUCGAAUGGUGGCUGCAUGAAAGAUGUAGCAUCCUGGAGUUCUUGUCGUGGCACAGUAGAAAUGCAUCCAACUAGGAACCAUGAGGUUGCGGGUUCAAUCCCUGGCCUCGCUCACUGGGUUAAGGAGCUGGCGUGGCUGUGAGCUGUGGUGUAGGCCGCAGGCGUGGCUCAGAUCCUGUGUUGCUGUGGCUGUGGUGUAGGCCGGCGGCCGUAGCUCCAACUGGACCCCUAGCCUGGGAACCUCCACUGCCAUGGGUGCAGCCCUGAAAAGCAAAGCAAAAAAAAAAAGAGAGUCCUUAAUGUGAGGCUUUACAUGCUAAACCAUUUAGAGAUGAAAAGAAAGGGUUCUAGAUGCCUCAGAAUAAAAUGGGGCUGGGGACGGGGCCAGGCGGGCCAGGCGGGCCAGGCACGGCCUGGCUGGGCUAAAAAAUUUUUAAGAAGUAUAGGGUGAUAAAAAGCACAGACCACCUCAAUCGUUUUGUGACCCUCCGUCACCGCUUGUCAACCCUCAAGGCAGCACGCAUGACAACCGCCACGCCACGGCUCGCACAGAAAAGCGGUGACAAGGAGGCCCAUGCAUGGGAGGAGGCUGCAGGGGGCCCCUGGGCAAGAACACAGAUUAGGAGCGGGCAGUCUAGCUCUGUCCGUCGGAGACUCAGUUCUCUGCUAAUUUUUGUCAUGUCAGUUAACCUCUCAGAAUCUGUUUACUCACUCAGCAAAGAGGAGGGAAAAAAAGCGCCCGGAAAGAACGUGAUUGAAAAAUCAUACAUAAAUAUUCUUAGAUACAGAAGAAGUGGCUUCUGGAGAGGACACCUGAGCCCCACCCUUCAUCCCACCACCAAAGCGGCUCUCGGGAGUGUCUCUGCAUGGGCCCUGGAGGGAACAGAGGCCGCCUCCCUCUGUUCACUGGGUGCCUGUCCCCCGGGAACUGGCGGAGGUUUCGGGAUCUUGGGCAGAGGACACACACGGCCAGCAGGGCUGUGGACCCAGGCUGCUGCAUCCGUACUUUCCGAUCGCUGAGAAACGUCUUGGGAGGGCUGCCGUGUAUAAACAUUUGUCAGGCUCCCCUUCACGUCCUUAGGGUGAAACGUGUCAGGAGGCCUUUCCGGCGGCUGGAGCGCUGCUUGUCCACGUACAGCUUUCACUCUUUCAGAACCGCCUCUCAGAUGGUUCCUUCUCCCUGUUGACUUAACCUGGAAACGCCCUGCCUACAGCCGGCAGGUGCGUCCGCUUCCGGGCCUGCACCUGCUGUCCUCACCGCUCCCGCAGGCACCAGCGGGAACCGCAGGCGGCGGGAGAAGGCCGCCCUGCUCGGAUUCCCGGGCGGGCGAGGAGGGGGGCCCUGAGGCCAGGGGGAGUCGGGGCCACAGGGAGCAUCCGACUAGGGUAAGUAAGAAUCCUGCUCUGAUUCCCGAACGUGAGGAAUUCUAAUUACCCGCUUCCUGCCCUGAGUACUACUUGGUAGGAACUGUUUAGAAAAGGUUUGGUGGCAGAGAAGCUAGAAACGAAGGAUAAAAAAAGCCCUCCAGUUGCGUUCCAGUUAUUACUCGCAGCUCCCUUCCCCUCCCUCCGCCAGGCCCAAGGCCCAGACAACUUCCUGGGCCCAAGAAGAGGCUCGGGGCUGUUCUCCUCUGAUCACACCCACACCCUGGGGCCUCCCUGGCUACACAGCUCCUGCUGGUCCUACAAGCUGCUGCCAGAACUCCCCCCCACCGCCCCUGCACCUGGUCCUUCCGCAGUCACUGCAAUGCUUGGCUCACCUGUGGCUUCAGGGGCCCUCCCAGCAUCUGUCCACAGCCCCCACCUUGCAACUGCCCUGCACUUCAGGCAGCUGGGGCUUGUUUCCUUUACCCGCAGGGCUGGGAAGUGAAACUAGAGACCCAGGCUGCCAAAGGCGGCAGCGCAUUCCGAGGAAAGCCAGCAUCCUUCCUCUUCCUCUCACUGGCACCGAGAGUCUGCAUUUCGGCAGCCUAAGUGCCUUUUUUAGGGCAACGUGCAAAUGAAUAAUUCAGUGGUUCCUCCUCUACUGGUGAAGUGUUAGACAAACAAUUCAGACGGGGCCAGACUUGCUGGCCCCACGAAGACGGUCCCUUCCCUUCGUCCUGACAUCAUCGGAUUUGGCCAUGAAUCUUUAAGAACACCCUCCAUCCUGUCUGAUCACUAAAAUACCACAAAGGAAGUUCACAAUACUUAGAGGUAGGGAAAAAAUAGAAAGGUUAAUUGCCACAGAAAGUUUUCCCUCGUUGCCAAGCAAACAGUCCAUCGGGGCGUCACCGUUAAUAAGGAACUCUGAAAAUCCUAGGCAGGGAAUGCCGCCGUCACAUCAGGUUACUGAGCCGCUCACUGAGCUUUUAAAUCCCAAUCCAAGCCUUACGAAAGUACCUUCCCCACGAGGCUCUGCUCGAACUCCCAGGUUUCACUCUAAGAGGCUCAUUGAUUCUGUGUCUUGUAGUAAAACCGCCUGGAAUACUUUGGGGAGGGAGGUGUGAUGCAAAUUUGAAGUUAAACAAACCGCCUUCCUGGUUUCAUUAGAGACUUCAUUUUGGAAGGGAUUCUUAGUGGACCAGCCAAACCUUCUUCAUACGUUCAUGGUUGGUUGGGAAACUUCAGCUGAUGGAACCCCGGGGGCCCUCUGUCAGGAAGACACAUUCGGCAAAUAACUGCCUUACAGCUCGGCUACGCUUGUGACCCCUGAUGGACAGCGUGGCUGUGAUUCUGGACGGGAAAUUGGAUCCAGUCACUUUCCUAAUGACGGGGUAAGGGGUUUAACCCUUACGGGAGGGCCCGGGAGAUGCAGGCAGUAAAUUUCUGAGUUUAGGAAAAAUUAAACAAUUUGACGAUAAGGACAGAUUUGUCUUUGUUUGUACCUUGGGAUCUAUCCAGUAAGCCUCGAGUGUGUGAAAAAUAUUUACCGUAUGUAUGCCAGGGAAUAAAGGUUUCUUCUCACUCACUGAUAAUCUUGCUAAAUGGCAGCUGCUUUGUGAAGGAAGGCAGAGGUGGUCCUUGGAAAACCCAAAUAACGUUAAGGGGUUCACCAGGAGGAACGUACAGGUUAGCGUAUUUCAGAAAGGAUGGGUUUCGCGGCAGAGGUGGAUGUCGGGAGGCAUAACUGUGUCACAUGUCGCUGCUGUGCUUGACAUGCAACAGAACAGCGGCAGAGCAGGGUGAGAGAAUCGAAAAUAAGCACAUGGCUCUUCAAAGUUUCAGGAGGGCUCCAUGGUUUUGCACCUGACACUGAAUUUCAGAAGUAAGACGGGACCUGGAGCAGGGCUGGCCUGGAAGGCUAAGGACAUUCAGAGAGUCAGUUAAGCUUUGUGGUUCAUCUUCCUUAAAUAGAUUAGAAAGCUUAUGACAGGGAUAUUCUAAAUUAUAAAAAAAAAAAAAAAAAGAGUAUCAACCGUAAAGAAAAAU